rnacentral:ncRNA from 2 species
AAGAGAAGAGUAGAUAUAAAAUGUAGUUCUAGCGAGUUGAGGAUGGUGAAAGCUCAAUACGAGGUUUAUAUUGAAGAACAUCUUGGAGUUUCUAAUCGAAAGCUUAUUUAGUAAGUAGACUUAGACGGAAGGCACCGUUAUAGGCUUUAAGCAUUGCUUAACUAAGAGGUCAUUAUGACAACUAGGGUGGUACCGCGAGAGUAAUAGUCUUUCGUCCCUUUAUAUAGGGAUGAAGGGCUUUUUUUAUUGAA